rnacentral:rRNA from 1 species
CCUACGGGAGGCAGCAGUCGAGAAUCAUUCACAAUGGGGGAAACCCUGAUGGUGCGACGCCGCGUGGGGGAUUGAAGGUCUUCGGUUUGUAAACCCCUGUCAUGUGGGAGCAAAUUAAUAAGAUAGUCCCACAUGAGGAAGAGCCGGCUAAUUCUGUGCCAGCAGCCGCGGUAAUACAGAGGUCUCAAGCGUUGUUCGGAAUCACUGGGCGUAAAGUGUUCGUAGGCGGGUUCGUAAGUCGGGUGGGAAAGGCGGGGGCUAAACCCGCGUACGGCACCUGAUACUGCGAGACUAGAGUACUGUAGGGGGAACCGGAAGUCGCGGUGUAGCAGUGAAAUGCGUAGAUAUCGAGAGGAACACUCGUGGCGAAGGCGGGUUCCUGGACAUUAACUGACGCUGAGGCACGAAGGCCAGGGGAGCGAAAAGGAUUAGAUACCCCUGUAGUC